rnacentral:lncRNA from 1 species
GGGCUGUAAUUGUGGCUCUUGUGUGAUGUUUUUACCCUGUGUGUGUGUGUGUGUGUGUGUGUGUGUGUGUCGUCCUCCCCUCUGCUGAGGAAAGGGGACAGUCUUCCAGCUGAUAGCAGAAUUCAGGUCGACACCGCAUCAUUUCUGCCUCAUGCAUCAAUUCAUGUUGUUACUCCUGUGACCAGAGAAAGUGAAAUAUUCCUCCAUAUUAAAACACGCUGCUAAAAAUAACAACAACAAUCUUAUCGGAAACACUUUGCAAUACUCAGUAUUACAGCUGCAGUGGAAGUACAGUAGGGAGAACCCACAUUUUAAGGCUUGACAGUGUUGACAGCGCUGAGUAACUACUGAAACACAAACUCACUCAUAAAAAUAAAUAAAAAACAGCAGCUCUUUGAAAUCUCACAGUAUCAACUUUUGUCGUUCGAGGUUUUUUUUUUUUUUUUUUUUUAACAGUCUAUGUCUCCAGGAAACCGUCCAGACACGGUGAUCUGAGCUAUCUGAUUGGACAGCGGUGGGCCUAUCGGUGCACUUGAUUUGCUCUCUGGGCCUACCGCCAACAACGAGAGCACCUAACGCCAACAACCCCUGCUCUAAACUGUGGUGUGUGUAGUGUCAUUGAUGCUAGUGGACAGAACGCUCUAGGCUAUUUCAGAUCAAACUCACUACUACUGACGGACGGUCUGGUGACAGCGCCAGGUGUUGGUAGUAAAACCAGGUCACUGAGGUCUCUGUUGUCUGUAUUGGAGAGAGGAGCAGUAGUAAAACCAGGUCACUGAGGUCUCUGUUGUCUGUAUUGGAGAGAGGAGCAGUAGUAAAACCAGGUCACUGAGGUCUCUGUUGUCUGGAGGAGAGAGGAGCAGUAGUAAAACCAGGUCACUGAGGUCUCUGUUGUCUGGAGGAGAGAGGAGCAGUAGUUAGAAUCAGUACUGGGGUAUCUGUUGUCUGUAUUGGAGAGAGGAGCAGUAGUUAGAAUCAGUACUGAGGUCUCUGUUGUCUGUAUUAGAGAGGAGCAGUAGUUAGAAUCAGUACUGAGGUAUCUGUUGUCUGUAUUGGAGAGAGGAGCAGUAGUUAGAAUCAGUACUGAGGUCUCUGUUGUCUGUAUUAGAGAGGAGCAGUAGUUAGAAUCAGUACUGGGGUAUCUGUUGUCUGUAUUAGAGAGGAGCAGUAGUUAGAAUCAGUACUGAGGUCUCUGUUGUCUGGAGGAGAGAGGAGCAGUAGUUAGAAUCAGUACUGAGGUCUCUGUUGUCUGGAGGAGAGAGGAGCAGUAGUUAGAAUCAGUACUGAGGUCUCUGUUGUCUGUAUUAGAGAGGAGCAGUAGUUAGAAUCAGUACUGAGGUCUCUGUUGUCUGUAUUAGAGAGGAGCAGUAGUUAGAAUCAGUGGCUGCUGCUUGUUGUGAUGAAAGUAGCCCUGUAUGUGUGUGUGUUGUGUGUACAGCUGUGACCCACAUGACCUCACCACUUCCCCUCUCUGCUCUCUUGGUUGGAGGAGAGAGAGGCUCUCAGCUGGUGACUGACUGCUAGGUGCUCAGACGUGGCCUGUCUGUGAGUAGAGAGAAGCUCUCAGCUGGUGACUGACUGCUGGCUGCUCAGACGUGGCCUGUCUGUGAGAAGAGAGAAGCUCUCAGCUGGUGACUGACUGCUGGCUGCUCAGACGUGGCCUGUCUGUUAGUAGAGAGGCUCUCAGCUGGUGACUGACUUCUGGCUGCUCAGACGUGGCCUGUCUGUGAGAAGAGAGAAGCUCUCAGCUGGUGACUGACUUCUGGCUGCUCAGACGUGGCCUGUCUGUGAGAAGAGAGAAGCUCUCAGCUGGUGACUGACUGCUGGCUGCACAGACGUGGAUAGUUCUGUCACAAAAACGGUGUUAACUGAGUUAACUAGCAAAUGUGCCGACUCUGGUCUUGGUAUGUGAGCUCUGGCCAACAGCUCCUAGAUAAAGUAUCCGUAAGUUAGUCUAAAUGAUGAGAUUAUUAUGGAUAAGAGCUAAAUUAUUUUUUAUUUGUCAAACAGCAGUCAAGCAUCGAUCGUCAAGACACCAGUAUAAAACCCUAGAUAUUUAUUUCAAAGGAGCAUUAAGAUCAC